rnacentral:tmRNA from 1 species
GGGGCUGAUUCUGGAUUCGACGGGAUUUGCGAAACCCAAGGUGCAUGCCGAGGGGCGGUUGGCCUUGUAAAAAGCCGCAAAAAAUAGUCGCAAACGACGAAAACUACGCUUUAGCAGCUUAAUAACCUGCUUAGAGCCCUCUCUCCCUAGCCUCCGCUCUUAGGACGGGGAUCAAGAGAGGUCAAACCCAAAAGAGAUCGCGUGGAAGCCCUGCCUGGGGUUGAAGCGUUAAAACUUAAUCAGGCUAGUUUGUUAGUGGCGUGUCCGUCCGCAGCUGGCAAGCGAAUGUAAAGACUGACUAAGCAUGUAGUACCGAGGACGUAGGAAUUUCGGACGCGGGUUCAACUCCCGCCAGCUCCACCA